GGCUGGGUAGCAAAGUGGUUAUGCUGCGGAUUGCAAAUCCGCCGACGGCGGUUCGAUUCCGCCCUCAGCCUCCA
rnacentral:tRNA from 1 species